rnacentral:rRNA from 1 species
GUCGCCCAUUAAAUAUCGUUGAAAUUCCCAUAAAAAAACUGCCUGCUGGUCUUCGUGAUAAACGAAAUAAUCAUUUUUUUUUUUUAUCCCUUUCUAUUUACUGCGAUCUGUUGGGCGGCAAGACCUCCGUAGCUCGCGCGUGCUACAGAAACUGGUGUGCUACCUCAAUGAGCUCGUCAUUGUCACACAAAAAAAAUGACAACCGCAGACCAGUCGGCAACCAGAAAAAAAUGCAACCCCCGACGAAGUUCUCAGCUACCGCCCACCUGGAGUACUCCACCAAAGCGGAACAAAGCCACGCUAACUUAAUCGGUGCUUCUACUUUUAUAGAGGGAGCAGUCGGGGAGAGUGCAGUAGGAGCUAAGGAAGGCGAGGGAGCGCUGGGGGCGGCGGCGGAGGAGAGGGCGAUGGCGGCGCGGUCCCGGAGCGGAGCGGGAGUGACCGGUGGCCGCUGGAGGUUGGGAACAAGAGGCGGAGCAGCGGUAUCGGUGGAACUCGAGCUCGUCUCCUCGCCGAGCCGUCCUCCCCCGUUGUCGGUCGGCGCGGAGCAGGCACAGCGCACCACCGGGUCUACGCCAGCAGGGCACGAGACGGAGGUGCUCGCGCCGGAGCUAGGUCUGAGCCGUCCUCCUCCCCUCGUCGUCGACCGGUACGACACAACCGGCACCUCCUCCUUCCUCGAGUACACCGAUCCCAAACCGAUGGGAGCAGUAGGUAGAGGAGCUAGAGAGAGACGGACCGGCACCAGACUUCCUCCUUCUUCCCUGCGUCGCUUUAGCUCGCUACGCCCGACGUUAUCGGAUUUAUCCACCGCCAGCUCUGGUGCCCUCGCCCUCGCUACCGGUAGACGGGGGCGGGGUGAGAGAAAUGGAGAAGAUACCUCUACGAAACGACCCCUGUAUACUAAAGUAGGGUAAGACAUGAUAGGUAGUCAAUACCUAAAGAGAGCGGUGAAAGAAAAAUCAGUUACUUAACCACAGAUUAUAUCCUUCCGAUUAAGCAGGGGUUAGAUCCGGAGCCUAGGUGCCGAAGAGGUAGAAGAAGGAGGUCGGGGAAAGAGGUACAGCCGGUAGGUUCUAUCUCUGCCGAAUCUACCGUUCCCGGUUCGUAGUCGUACCUGCUGCCGGAGGUUCUAAAUUCACCAGUUCAUACUUACUGCUACGUCGAACGUCCCAUGGCUGUGGGUUUAUUCAAGUCCGGUCAGGAACUACACUUCUUCGAUUCCCUCCGCCUAGGGCUGGGAAUACUGUCGGUUUUAAUCCGGCGGUGAGCAGAGAGAGGAUGUGGACGAGAAGUCUACCGGUUGUUGUGAAGCGCUCGUUACUGACGACAGGUCAAUUCUCGUUCUUUCUAGAACGACAAUGAACAGAAAAGUUGUCAAGAAGACACACCUUCCGUGAAACGAGUGUGAGUUUAUGAUGGAGACUUUGUACCUUCUUCCUUUUCCAAUGAGAAGACUAGAACUCUUUUGUCAAAGUCUCUUCGAUCGUCUACAUCUUCUAAGAGACUUCUUCAACUUCGUCCAAGAGAAGUUAAACGACAACACGAUCCGUACUUGUCUUACCGAAGGAGAAGAACGCUUGGUGUGACUACAACAGAAGACCAAAGACGACGUUACCAAAAAAAAUGAUACCUGUUGCAAAGAACUCCGAUACAGAGACGAUAUCCAGAGGCGUAAAGCCCCCUGAUUCAGGCUGCUGCCCUCUAAGAUGUAUAUAAAAGAUUUUCUGUACAGUGAACCAGCUCCGGAACUAGUACCACUAUACACAAAUAAGCAGGCCACUGAGUCAUCUUGCUAUUGGAGACACGUGUCACUACAAAGUCAAAGAUGUAACUACCAAAGUUCGUAUUCUUCCAAAGUUUUAAUUUACUCGGAACAUGUCCUGACUAUUGUUUAAUACGAAAGACUCAAAGACUCAAAGUUCGAUGACUUUCAUUAACUUCGAAACGGAAGCGAUACAUUCUUACCAACGUACACAAUUAAUCACCACGUGUAAAAAACUCUGACAGGUUUUAAGAUAAUAUUUUACGAAUAUACUUUAACUACCCAUGGACCUUGAAGAACACUAACUUUGAUUUAUCACCUUGUGUAGUGUACGAAUAACCAGUAUACAAUGGCGAAUAGUUAUAUAGAGUAUACUUUGGAAAAUGAAUUGCAACGUUUCCAAUA